AUUGAACGCUGGCGGCAGGCCUAACACAUGCAAGUCGAGCGGAGCUGCGGACGGGUGAGUAAUUCCUAGGUAUCUGCCUUGUCUUGGGGGAUAACGUCCGGUAACGGGCGCUAAUACCGCAUCCUAUCAGCUGAGCCUAGGUCGGAUUAGCUCGUUGGUGGGGUAAAGGCCUACCAAGGCGACGAUCCGUAACUGGUCUGAGAGGAUGAUCAGUCACACUGGAACUGAGACACGGUCCAGACUCCUACGGGAGGCAGCAGUGGGGAAUAUUGGACAAUGGGCGAAAGCCUGAUCCAGCCAUGCCGCGUGUGUGAAGAAGGUCUUCGGAUUGUAAAGCACUUUAAGUUGGGAGGUGUUACCAACAGAAUAAGCACCGGCUAACUUCGUGCCAGCAGCCGCGGUAAUUC
rnacentral:rRNA from 1 species